GUGCUCACUUCAGAAGCACAUAUCCUAAAGAUGGAAUGACACAUAGAAGAUUAGCAUGGCUCCUGUGCAAGGAUGACAUGCAAAUUCAUGAAACAUGUACUUUU